UUUGGAGGUUUGGACUGCGAUAGAGACGUGGAGGUUUGGACUGCGAUAGAGACGUGGAGGUUUGGACUGCGAUAGAGACGUGGAGGUUUGGACUACGAUAGAGACGUGGAGGUUUGGACUACGAUAGAGACGCGGAGGUUUGGACUACGAUAGAGACGCAGAGGUUUGGACAACGAUAGAGACACGGAGGUUUGGACUAUCGGUUUUCCUAGAGGAGUAUCAU